GUGUUCUCAAAACUUGACAGCACAUAUACUAAAAUUAGAAUGAUACAGAGAACAUUAACAUGGUCCCUGCACAAGGAUGACAUGCAAAUUCCUGAAGCGUUCCAUAUUUUC
ensembl:snRNA U6 U6 spliceosomal RNA